ACACGGGAACUGGGAACUGAGUAAACGAGAUAAAAGCCAUGGAACGGUACUGUAAAGAACUGAGUAUGCACGGGGGAAUAUGAGCGAAAUAAAUGGAGAAAUAAAGGAGCGUCUGAUGACGAGAAAAUCCUCGAACAAAGUAUGUAAAUGAAAAAAGAAGAAAAAAAACAGAAAACCGAGAUAAAUUUUUGUCGUCAGAGCAGUUGAAGCUCCUUUGAUCGCGCGGGCAUCAAAAGUUGACUGCAUCGAUUAUCGUUGAACGUAAAUUCGUAUGAACGCAAUAAGCUCUUUUCGAUCGAAGCUUCAGCAGCAGAGUUUGAAAAAACGGAUCGUAUCUAAAAAUAUUAUUUGUUCUAUUCUCGAACGACAUUGAGCGUUGUCUCGGUAGUUUCGAAGGUGAAAAAUGUGCGGUUCAAUGAAAAAAGUCGAGCUGAAAGGCCUUGGAAUAAUUCAUUUUUUAUAACGAAGGAGAACAUUAUUUCGUGGCUGAAAACUCGUGCGAGAGUCGUCCAAAGAAUAUGAAAAUGGCGAGGAAGGAGGGAGCAGGGGCGAGAAGGGGGCGAAGAGAACGAAAUUAAACACGUCGAAUCAUCAGAGUACACAGAGGCGUGGCACAACGCCAUAUUUCCAACACUCGCGUACAAAGCCAGAGCCGUUCACUCGUCGAUGAAAGAAUCCUUCGCGCGUGUGUGUGACCUAAAAUAAGUAGCAGGUUUCAUAGGAAAAAAAUAUUAUCGUAAAAACCCAAGAAAUUUGUUCGGAUGAAUAAAUUUAAGAAUAUUCAGAGGAAAAAAAGCUCCGGUAAAGUGCUGAAUAAAUUUAACCGACCCCUGACGUCUGUCGCAUAUUUAUAGUUACGAGCGUGUUGUCUAAAUAGUGUCCAAUCGAAUUUAACAAUAAGAAAAAUGUUGGGACGCGAGGCCGAUGAAAAACAGGCAAAGACGAACUUAUCGGAGCAGAAUUAGGUCGCCACAUGUCGCGACUACCAUAAUGUCAAAGUAUUAACGAGUCUCAUUUAUGAAGACGCGAGUAUAGAAAGCCUCCUCGUCGGUGACCUUUGCGUGGCAGUCAGUGGGAAAGUUGGACGGUUUACUAGAGAGACGAAAUGACAGAAUUAUGCACAGUAUGCUCGUGUGUUGGGGCCAUCGAGAAGAGGGAGAGAGAUUUAGUCAGGCUUUUGUUUGAGGGCUAUUGAAUUCCACCGCGAGCAUCGGGACGCAGGUGUGAGCAUCGGCCCCAGGGAGAAUGCAGCACGCUUUGGUGCACCGUUGUGGACUCAUUUGGCGUAUGUUCGAUCGCCAACGACUGGCUGUGCAGCCAGCAGCCGAUAGCGCGACUCGAUCGAAUUCCUGCAAUAGUAUCAACGGAGAAAUGUAUCGAAAGGAUGAGAAGCAGUAAUAUUGAAAAAUCGGAUGCGUUUCGACGGUUCGAAGCCCCCGAUUAAUUAUCCAACGAUAAAUUCAUGGAAAAUUUUUUCAACUCUUUUGUUUUGUAAUUACUUAUCGACCCGGAAUAAAUUCACAGUUCAUCGAAGCCAAGGGCUUCCCCAAAUUUGAA
rnacentral:lncRNA from 1 species